CCCUUAGAUGUCCUGGGCCGCACGCACGCUACACUGAACGGAUCAGCGCGUUUUCCCUUCCCGAGAGGGACGGGUAACCUGCUGAACCCCGUUCGUGGUAGGGAUCGGGGCUUGCAAUUAUUCCCCGUGAACCAGGAAUGCCCAGUAAGUGCAAGUCAUAAGCUUGCGUUGAUUACGUCCCUGCCCUUUGUACACACCGCCCGUCGCUACUACCGAUUGAACGUUUUAGUGAGGUACUCGGACUGAGCCUCAGAAGAUUCACGUCUUUUGUGCUGCUCGGGAAGAUUCCCAAACUUGAGCGUUUAGAGGAAGUAAAAGUCGUAACA
rnacentral:rRNA from 1 species